rnacentral:rRNA from 1 species
CUUACUGCUCAGUAACACGUGGAUAACCUGCCCUUGGGUCCGGCAUAACCCCGGGAAACUGGGGAUAGUUCCGGAUAACGCAUAUAUGCUGGAAUGCUUUAUGCGUAAAAUGGAUUCGUCUGCCCAAGGAUGGGUCUGCGGCCUAUCAGGUAGUAGUGGGUGUAAUGUACCUACUAGCCGACGACGGGUACGGGUUGUGAGAGCAAGAGCCCGGAGAUGGAUUCUGAGACAUGAAUCCAGGCCCUACGGGGCGCAGCAGGCGCGAAAACUUUACAAUGCGGGAAACCGUGAUAAGGGGACACCGAGUGCCAGCAUCAUAUGCUGGCUGUCCGGGUGUGUAAAAUACACCUGUUAGCAAGGGCCGGGCAAGACCGGUGCCAGCCGCCGCGGUAACACCGGCGGCCCGAGUGGUGAUCGUGAUUAUUGGGUCUAAAGGGUCCGUAGCCGGUUUGGUCAGUCCUCCGGGAAAUCUGACGGCUCAACCGUUAGGCUUUCGGGGGAUACUGCCAGGCUUGGAACCGGGAGAGGUAAGAGGUACUACAGGGGUAGGAGCGAAAUCUUGUAAUCCCUGUGGGACCACCUGUGGCGAAGGCGUCUUACCAGAACGGGUUCGACGGUGAGGGACGAAAGCUGGGGGCACGAACCGGAUUAGAUACCCGGGUAGU